AUAAUCUGACAGGAACUGUCAGCUCUGUAAUCAACAAAAAUGUAAACUUCAGGUACAAAAAUAAAUUUAUCUAAACCAAAGCUUACUAGCUUUUAGACAAAAAUACAAAAACCUCUAGGAUUAUACAAGCACAUUUUAUUUUUAUGUUUCAGAAAUAAACUUUGAAACACAUUGAAGAUAAAAGAAGAGUUGUUUAUGAGCCAAUGAUGAAAGUGUAUGAAGGGGCACAGGUAUUUUGCAAUAUCCAUCUGGAGAUCUCAUUAACAUUUGAAAGCACUUUGAAGAGAACAGCUUUAAAAUUAGAAGGGUUGGCUGAGCUUGAGUGAGGACACUGGCAGGAGAGUGGGGGAGAGAUCUGUGGACACCGAAUGGCCACGUCCCUACCAAGCAUCCUACAGUGGAGCCUGUCCCUUGACAAAUCAUGCACACAGAGCUUCCAAAAUAUGGCUACAGAGAGGAGUUCCCAUAGAGAAAACAACAGAAUCAAGCCACGUACAGGGAUCCAAACUAAGAACAUCAUCCAGCCUCUCAAAUGCAAGACGGGAAGCUAGAAGGCACUGGUGCAAUACUUCAAAUUUCAGAGAAGAAUGAUUUCCAACUUAGAAAUGUGUACUUCGUGAGAUGACCAAACCAGUGUGAAAUUAAGAUAAAGACAUUUCAAGCA